ACUCCUACGGGAGGCAGCAGUGGGAAUAUUGCACAAUGGGCGCAAGCCUGAUGCAGCCAUGCCGCGUGUGUGAAGAAGGCCUUCGGUUGUGAAAUGCAACUUUCAGUUGUGAGGAAAGGUUAGUCGCUAAUAUCGGCUAGCUGUGACGUUAGCAACAGAAGAAGCACCGGCUAACUCCGUGCCAGCAGCCGCGGUAAUACGGAGGGUGCGAGCGUUAAUCGGAAUUACUGGGCGUAAAGCGCGUGUAGGUGGCUUGUUAAGCCAGAUGUGAAAGCCCCGGGCUCAACCUGGGAACUGCAUUUGGAACUGGCAGGCUAGAGUUUUGUAGAGGUGGUAGAAUUUCAGGUGUAGCGGUGAAAUGCGUAGAGAUCUGAAGGAAUACCGGUGGCGAAGGCGACACCUGGCCAAUAACUGACACUGAGACGCGAAGGCGUGGGUAGCAAACGGGAUUAGAUACCCUGGUAGGCUCUG
rnacentral:rRNA from 1 species